rnacentral:rRNA from 1 species
CUACGGGAGGCAGCAGUGAGGAAUUUUGCGCAAUGGGGGAAACCCUGACGCAGCAACGCCGCGUGAGUGAAGAAGGCCCUUGGGUCGUAAAGCUCUGUCAAUGGGGAAGAAGUUAUUAUGUGUUAAUAGCACAUUUUAUUGACGGUACCCAUGAAGGAAGCACCGGCUAACUCCGUGCCAGCAGCCGCGGUAAUACGGGGGGUGCAAGCGUUAUUCGGAAUUAUUGGGCGUAAAGGGCACGCAGGCGGUCCUGUCAGUCAGAUGUGAAAGCCCAGGGCUCAACCCUGGACGUGCAUUUGAAACAGCAGGACUUGAGUACGGGAGAGGAAAGGGGAAUUCCUGGUGUAGAGGUGAAAUUCGUAGAUAUCAGGAGGAACACCGGUGGCGAAGGCGCCUUUCUGGACCGAUACUGACGCUGAGGUGCGAAGGCGUGGGUAGCGAACGGGAUUAGAUACCCUUGUAGUC